rnacentral:tRNA from 1 species
GUUUCUGUAGUUGAAUAACAACGGUGGUUUUUCAGAUCAUUGGUCUCGGUUAGAAUCCUAGUAGGAAUU